rnacentral:lncRNA from 1 species
UAAACACACAUGCAUGAAACCAUAGAUGCACAUAUGCUCAUGUGCACAUGUGUGCACACACACACUGCACUCACACAUGCAAACAUUUAUGCACACACAUACACACAGCAAAGAAAACAAUCUAGAAGAGUUUGUAGUAAGCCAAAUGUGGUGGUACAUAGCUCUAAUCUCAACAUUUAGAAGGCUGAAAUAGGGGGCUCAUGAAUUUAAGACCAGCCUGGGCAACAUAAGUUUGAGGCCAGCUACAUUAAUUGGGACUGCCACUCCCCAAGAAAAAAAUGUUCAGAAGGGCUAAAGAGAUGGCUCAGUGGUGAAGAAGUCUUGUUCUUACAGAGGACCUGAGACUUCAGGCCUUCACACUGUACCUACAUGUAUGAGUGUGAGUGUGAAUACACACUAGAUGAUGAUGAUGAUGAUGAUGAUGAUGGUGAUGUUGAAUAAGUCUGUUUUAAGAAAUCCAAGCUUUCUGCCCUGUAGCUACUUGCUGGCAUCCAUGGUCAACUGCACCAUAUUAAACACCAUGAUGGCAAGCCCUUUGGAGACAUCACCGAGCCAUUGGCAGAAAAUGAUCCAAAGACAGCAGAAAACUACUGUGCUUUGAGCAUCAGAUAGAAAGGAAAUGGCUAAAAAAAAAAAAAAAAA